CCUACGGGUGGCAGCAGUGGGGAAUAUUGCACAAUGGGCGCAAGCCUGAUCCAGCAACGCCGCGUGAAGGAAGAAGGCUUUCGGGUUGUAAACUUCUUUUGACGGGGAAGAGUAUAAGACGGUACCUGUCGAAUAAGCCACGGCUAACUAAGUGCAAGCAGACGGGGUAAGACGUAGGUGGCAAGCGUUGUCAGGAGUUACUGGGUGGAAAGGGCGUGUAGCCGGGUUGACUAGUCAGAUGUGAAAUCCUGCGGCUUAACCGGCGAACUGCAUUUGAUACUGUUGAUCUUGAGUACUGGAGAGGCAGACGGAAUUCCUGGUGUAGCGGUGAAAUGCGUAGAUAUUAGGAGGAACACCAGUGGCGAAGGCGGUCUGCUGGACAGCAACUGACGGUGAGGCGCGAAAGCGUGGGGAGCAAACAGGAUUAGAUACCCCUGUAGUC
rnacentral:rRNA from 1 species